GUUGGGUCCUUUGGUCACAUGCCACAGGAGCACGAACCCUUCUCACCAACGGUCCCACUGGUCUUCGCUAACGGCAGAGCUCAGGCAACCGUAGAUGUCUCUGCCACCUACCGCUCGGAGUGAGCUCAGGAGCAUGAGACAAUGCACAGAAGCUCAUGCAGUCCUAGGGUGACACAGUGCGCCCGUGCAGAUCCAGUGAAGCCUCAGGGCCAGGCUGAUGCUGUUGAAAGUUCAUAGAACAGUAGAAAGCUGGCUGACUGUGGAGAAUGGAGUUCCAUAAGAUGGCAGUGUCCAGCAACACCAGCUCCAACAUUUACUGUCUGAUCUGGCAAGUGUGUUCCCACCAGAACUAGCUGUGAAGACCCCGUCACUGAAAACUCCAUGUGCUCAGGCUGCAGGAAAGAACAGAGUCAAGCUGGAAAUGAGUUGGACACUUCCUGCUGGCUAGCAUUCCUAGUGCUGGAAUGUACUUUGCAGGCUCUGGGAGAGAAAAAAAUCAUGAACACACUUAACUCAGCUCUGUACCCUGUAUACUACAUGACUGAACAACACGCCACUAGAGUCACAGUCAUCAUCACUGAGGGAAUAAUCAGCUGCUUUUAACCAGAUUUGAGGCCAGCUCCACUUGAGGCGUUUCAAGCAGAAUGACCAUGGAGACUCUACCCAGUGAGGUCUAAGCAAUGUGCAAUCUGCAAAGCAGACAUCCAGUACAGAGGGAAUGUCCUCCAUGUUUCCAAGCAAAGCCAUGGCUAAUCCUAUUUUUUACAGAUGGCCCUUUAGAUGGAGCCUCAGAUUACUGCCUGCCAAAACGAGACCAGCUCCAGCAGCCUGCCUACCGCAUGAGAGUUCCCUCUCUCUUAGACUGACAACCUCUCUGAACUACGCCCCCUCACAGCCUGAAGCAGCUAGAGUGGUCAUCGCCCCCUUUCCUGAUGAUAGUUGAUGUCAAUCUCUGAGGGAGGGAAUAAAGGAGAGUUAGAUGGACAUGAGUAGACUAGGAAAGCAAGAGCAGGCUUCCUGAGCUGGCCAUUUCUUAUUCCCGGAAGACCUUGAGAGGAGAAAUGACAAGAAGACUUGGGAGCUGAAAUAAGAGGGGGGGAAAUGGGGGGACAUAGGGACCUUAUAGAAUAAGCAAGUCAGAAUCCCUCUAGAAGACUUCACACCUUAGGUAUCUCCACCCCAAAGGAAUAAAGUUGUUACUUAGACUCUC